CCUACGGGGAGCUGCAGUGGGGAAUAUUGGACAAUGGGGGGAACCCUGAUCCAGCCAUGCCGCGUGUGUGAAGAAGGCCCUCGGGUUGUAAAGCACUUUCAGUGAGGAAGAACGCCUGGUGGUUAAUACCCAUCAGGAAAGACAUCACUCACAGAAGAAGCACCGGCUAACUCCGUGCCAGCAGCCGCGGUAAUACGGAGGGUGCGAGCGUUAAUCGGAAUUACUGGGCGUAAAGCGCGCGUAGGUGGCUUGAUAAGCCGGUUGCGAAAGCCCCGGGCUCAACCUGGGAACGGCAUCCGGAACUGUCAAGCUAGAGUGCAGGAGAGGAAGGUAGAAUUCCCGGUGUAGCGGUGAAAUGCGUAGAGAUCGGGAGGAAUACCAGUGGCGAAGGCGGCCUUCUGGACUGACACUGACACUGAGGUGCGAAAGCGUGGGUAGCAAACAGGAUUAGAUACCCUGGUAGUC
rnacentral:rRNA from 1 species